UCUCUAUCUCUCACCAUUUUCAUAUGCUUUCAAUCUACUCUAAAUUCCUCGCAAUCCCAACCGACUGCCUGGAAAAGCACGAAUGCACACCUGGAUACAACCAAUUAGUUGUAAAAUGCCUCAGAAAUCAAUAUCCUGACAAAUCAUUGUUGUUUCUAUUGAAGAAGUAACAAGUAAAUAGCAUAAACUGUUGUAAAUAACUGCUAGAAGAUGUAACAGGGGAGGGGGAAAAAAGGAAGAGGACCCCGAAAAACAUAGUUUAUCAGCAUAUAAAUCGAAAAGGAAAUACCAAGAGGGAACUCAAAGAUUAAAGACCAGUAGGUUUCUUAUCAAAUGUACGGAUAAAACCUUAAGACUUAUAGGUAAUCAGCAACCCCGAGGAGAUUUGCAGAAUAGCAUUGCUGCUAUUAAUUUAAGGCUAUAUUAGAUAACAUGAAGACAUGGAAAAUGCAUUCUUAUUUUAGAGAACUUAUUAAACAGACGAGAUUACCAAAAUGACUGAAAGAGCACUUGACAUGCUACAAGCAAAAUGCACCUCUUCAACCCAACCUUUGACAUGGACAAAUAAGUUGGCCUGCAGAAACAACUAAGUACAAGACAAGUACUUAGUUGACUGAUAAACAAGCACUGCACAGCGUUGCUUCGCAAUCCAUCUCUUUCACUUUUCAUCAUCAAAUGGCUACAAAUAAAUACAUUAUUCUUCUAUAUAGAAAUAAUGAGAAAGGCAGUAAGCAAAAUUCAAAACAGAAAUGUGUAGGAUCCCUACGAAUGUAAUUCAUUGUCAUCUGCUGUAACAAAUUGCAUUGCCGAAUCUGCUAUUUUAAAAAGCUACCAGAAAACCGGGCCUAAAUUUACAGGCUUAACCUAGGAUAAUGCU
rnacentral:lncRNA from 1 species